rnacentral:miRNA from 1 species
ACUAUGGGACAGGGGAAAGGGGGGUUAAAGAUCAUUAUGGGACAGGGGAGAAAAAAAAAUUCUGAACAAACUGUCCCAUAGUAAGAAACACUAUGGAACAGUUUGUUCAGAAUAUUUUUUAUCUCCCCUGUCCCAUAAUGAUCUUUAACCCCUCUUUCCUCUGUCCCAUAGUG